GUGAUUGCGAGGCUGUUGACAUUACCCCUAUUCAUCGAUACAAGAUACCUCUAAGGGUUCAGGAUUCGACAGGGACUGUGUCUUGUACGUUGUUUGAUUAUGAAGCUAUUAAGCUUUUUAAGAAAACCGCCAAACAACUCCUGGAUGUUUAUACAAAGGUUGACAGUUCGAUUGAAGGAGGCUUUGAAGCACUUCCAGAUGAGUUUGAU